GACGAACGCUGGCGGCGUGCUUAACACAUGCAAGUCGAACGGAAAGGCCCUGCUUUUGUGGGGUGCUCGAGUGGCGAACGGGUGAGUAACACGUGAGUAACCUGCCCUUGACUUUGGGAUAACUUCAGGAAACUGGGGCUAAUACCGGAUAGGAGCUCCUGCUGCAUGGUGGGGGUUGGAAAGUUUCGGCGGUUGGAGAUGGACUCGCGGCUUAUCAGCUUGUUGGUGGGGUAGUGGCUUACCAAGGCUUUGUCGGGUAGCCGGCCUGAGAGGGUGACCGGCCACAUUGGGACUGAGAUACGGCCCAGACUCCUACGGGAGGCAGCAGUGGGGAAUAUUGCACAAUGGGCGGAAGCCUGAUGCAGCAACGCCGCGUGCGGGAUGACGGCCUUCGGGUUGUAAACCGCUUUCGCCUGUGACGAAGCGUGAGUGACGGUAAUGGGUAAAGAAGCACCGGCUAACUACGUG
rnacentral:rRNA from 1 species